AUUGAACGCUGGCGGCAUGCCUUACACAUGCAAGUCGAACGGCAGCACGGGUGCUUGCACCUGGUGGCGGGUGGCGAACGGGUGAGUAAUACAUCGGAACGUACCUUAUCGUGGGGGAUAACGCAGCGAAAGCUGUGCUAAUACCGCAUACGCCCUGAGGGGGAAAGCGGGGGAUCGCAAGACCUCGCGCGCUUAGAGCGGCCGAUGCCUGAUUAGCUUGUUGGUGGGGUAAAAGCCCACCAAGGCGACGAUCAGUAGCUGGUCUGAGAGGACGAUCAGCCACACUGGGACUGAGACACGGCCCAGACUCCUACGGGAGGCAGCAGUGGGGAAUUUUGGACAAUGGGGGCAACCCUGAUCCAGCAAUGCCGCGUGAGUGAAGAAGGCCUUCGGGUUGUAAAGCUCUUUUGUCAGGGAAGAAACACCGGCUCUAACACAGUCCGGGAAUGACGGUACCCGAAGAAUAAGCACCGGCUAACUACGUGCCAGCCGCCGCGGUAA
rnacentral:rRNA from 1 species